GUCACACAGGGUUGCUUAAAGCAUAAGCAUACUCAUAUCUGUACCAUGUUUUUAUCUCAAAUCAAAGAUCAUAAACUAAGAUAUAUUUGUCUUAGCCUGUGAACUCAAUACUUAGCCAUAUUUUUAUCUCAUCACAAUGUCAUUUAAAUACUGACCAGAGAAAAUGUAUAUGGGACAGUUUACUACAUUUAUGUCCCUACAUUCAAAAAUGGUUUUGAAAAAAAAAAGUUACUGGAGCAAUUUUUGUGAACUUGACUGGUAUAUGGCAUGGUUAACUAUAAAUAUAAGUCUUUAAUGCUACACAACAGACAUUUUACAGCAAUACUUAAUAAUAAAUGGAGCCGAUGGAGAAUUCAACCUAAUAAACUACUCCAAAGUAGCAUCUUGUUGGCGCACCUAUCCUCUAUCAUUGGUUUCUAAAUUUUUCUUCAGUAUAUUAUUAGUUAUAAUGAAUUGCGGCAAACUUCAGAUAAAUAUCAUCUAUCACACUAAAAUUGUAUACAUUU